rnacentral:rRNA from 1 species
GCGGGUGGAGCAAGGUGGCUUUAUUUGGGGGCUAAAUGAAGAGCCUUACCUACUAUUGACAUCCAGAGAACUUACCAGAGAUGGAGUGGUGCCUUCGGGAACUCUGAGACAGGUGCUGCAUGGCUGUCGUCAGCUCGUGUUGUGAAAUGUUGGGAUAAGUCCCGCAACGAGCGCAACCCUUAUCCUUUGUUGCCAGCGGUUAGGCCGGGAACUCAAAGGAGACUGCCAGUGAUAAACUGGAGGAAGGUGGGGAUGACGUCAAGUCAUCAUGGCCCUUACGAGUAGGGCUACACACGUGCUACAAUGGCGCAUACAAAGAGAAGCGACCUCGCGAGAGCAAGCGGACCUCAUAAAGUGCGUCGUAGUCCGGAUUGGAGUCUGCAACUCGACUCCAUGAAGUCGGAAUCGCUAGUAAUCGUGGAUCAGAAUGCCACGGUGAAUACGUUCCCGGGCCUUGUACACACCGCCCGUCACACCAUGGGAGUGGGUUGCAAAAGAAGUAGUAAAG